CCUACGGGAGGCAGCAGUGAGGAAUAUUGGUCAAUGGGCGGAAGCCUGAACCAGCCAAGUCGCGUGAGGGAAUAAGGCCCUACGGGUCGUAAACCUCUUUUGCCGGGGAGCAAGGGCGGGGACGUGUCCCGUCCCGGAGAGUACCCGAAGAAAAAGCAUCGCCUACCUCCGUGCCAGCAGCCGCGGUAAUCCGGAGGAUGCGAGCGUUAUCCGGAUUUAUUGGGUUUAAAGGGUGCAUAGGCGGGCUUUUAAGUCAGCGGUAAAAAUUCGGGGCUCAACCCCGUCCGGCCGUUGAAACUGGGGGCCUUGAGUGGGCGAGAAGAAGGCGGAAUGCGUGGUGUAGCGGUGAAAUGCAUAGAUAUCACGCAGAACCCCGAUUGCGAAGGCAGCCUUCCGGCGCCCUACUGACGCUGAGGCACGAAAGUGCGGGGAUCGAACAGGAUUAGAUACCCGAGUAGUC
rnacentral:rRNA from 1 species